AGCUUUGCGCAGUGGCAGUAUCGUAGCCAAUGAGGUUUAUCCGAGGCGCGAAUAUUGCUAAUUGAAAAAAUAAGCAAUAUAAGC
rnacentral:snRNA from 1 species